AUUAAUGAGAGUUUGAUCCUGGCUCAGGACGAACGCUGGCGGCGUGCCUAAUACAUGCAAGUAGAACGCUGAAGAGAGGAGCUUGCUCUUCUUGGAUGAGUUGCGAACGGGUGAGUAACGCGUAGGUAACCUGCCUUGUAGCGGGGGAUAACUAUUGGAAACGAUAGCUAAUACCGCAUAACAAUGGAUGACACAUGUCAUUUAUUUGAAAGGGGCAAUUGCUCCACUACAAGAUGGACCUGCGUUGUAUUAGCUAGUAGGUGAGGUAAUGGCUCACCUAGGCGACGAUACAUAGCCGACCUGAGAGGGUGAUCGGCCACACUGGGACUGAGACACGGCCCAGACUCCUACGGGAGGCAGCAGUAGGGAAUCUUCGGCAAUGGGGGCAACCCUGACCGAGCAACGCCGCGUGAGUGAAGAAGGUUUUCGGAUCGUAAAGCUCUGUUGUAAGUCAAGAACGGGUGUGAGAGUGGAAAGUUCACACUGUGACGGUAGCUUACCAGAAAGGGACGGCUAACUACGUGCCAGCAGCCGCGGUAAUACGUAGGUCCCGAGCGUUGUCCGGAUUUAUUGGGCGUAAAGCGAGCGCAGGCGGUUUGAUAAGUCUGAAGUUAAAGGCUGUGGCUCAACCAUAGUUCGCUUUGGAAACUGUCAAACUUGAGUGCAGAAGGGGAGAGUGGAAUUCCAUGUGUAGCGGUGAAAUGCGUAGAUAUAUGGAGGAACACCGGUGGCGAAAGCGGCUCUCUGGUCUGUAACUGACGCUGAGGCUCGAAAGCGUGGGGAGCGAACAGGAUUAGAUACCCUGGUAGUCCACGCCGUAAACGAUGAGUGCUAGGUGUUGGAUCCUUUCCGGGAUUCAGUGCCGCAGCUAACGCAUUAAGCACUCCGCCUGGGGAGUACGACCGCAAGGUUGAAACUCAAAAGGAAUUGACGGGGGCCCGCACAAGCGGUGGAGCAUGUGGUUUAAUUCGAAGCAACGCGAAGAACCUUACCAGGUCUUGACAUCCCGAUGCUAUUUCUAGAGAUAGAAAGUUACUUCGGUACAUCGGUGACAGGUGGUGCAUGGUUGUCGUCAGCUCGUGUCGUGAGAUGUUGGGUUAAGUCCCGCAACGAGCGCAACCCCUAUUGUUAGUUGCCAUCAUUCAGUUGGGCACUCUAGCGAGACUGCCGGUAAUAAACCGGAGGAAGGUGGGGAUGACGUCAAAUCAUCAUGCCCCUUAUGACCUGGGCUACACACGUGCUACAAUGGUUGGUACAACGAGUUGCGAGUCGGUGACGGCGAGCUAAUCUCUUAAAGCCAAUCUCAGUUCGGAUUGUAGGCUGCAACUCGCCUACAUGAAGUCGGAAUCGCUAGUAAUCGCGGAUCAGCACGCCGCGGUGAAUACGUUCCCGGGCCUUGUACACACCGCCCGUCACACCACGAGAGUUUGUAACACCCGAAGUCGGUGAGGUAACCUUUUGGAGCCAGCCGCCUAAGGUGGGACAGAUGAUUGGGGUGAAGUCGUAACAAGGUAGCCGUAUCGGAAGGUGCGGCUGGAUCACCUCCUUU
rnacentral:rRNA from 1 species